GWCRGGKURSSYAWACAUGCAAGWCGARSGCUUYGUGGUUCAACUGAUUUGAAGAGCUUGCUCAGAUAUGACGAUGGACAUUGCAAAGAGUGGCGAACGGGUGAGUAACACGUGGGAAACCUACCUCUUAGCAGGGGAUAACAUUUGGAAACAGAUGCUAAUACCGUAUAACAAUGACAACCGCAUGGUUGUUAUUUAAAAGAUGGUUCUGCUAUCACUAAGAGAUGGUCCCGCGGUGCAUUAGCUAGUUGGUAAGGUAAUGGCUUACCAAGGCGAUGAUGCAUAGCCGAGUUGAGAGACUGAUCGGCCACAAUGGGACUGAGACACGGCCCAUACUCCUACGGGAGGCAGCAGUAGGGAAUCUUCCACAAUGGGCGAAAGCCUGAUGGAGCAACSCCGCGUGUGUGAUGAAGGGUUUCGGCUCGUAAAACACUGUUGUAAGAGAAGAAUGACAUUGAGAGUAACUGUUCAAUGUGUGACGGUAUCUUACCAGAAAGGAACGGCUAAAUACGUGCCAGCAGCCGCGGUAAUACGUAUGUUCCAAGCGUUAUCCGGAUUUAUUGGGCGUAAAGCGAGCGCAGACGGUUAUUUAAGUCUGAAGUGAAAGCCCUCAGCUCAACUGAGGAAUUGCUUUGGAAACUGGAUGACUUGAGUGCAGUAGAGGAAAGUGGAACUCCAUGUGUAGCGGUGAAAUGCGUAGAUAUAUGGAAGAACACCCAGUGGCGAAGGCGGCUUUCUGGACUGUAACUGACGUUGARGCUCGAAAGUGUGGGUAGCAMACAGGAUUAGAUACCCUGGYAGUCCACAACCGUAAACGAAUGAGUGCUAGGUGUUUGAGGGUUUCCGCCCUUAAGUGCCGCARCWAACRCAAUWAAGCACUCCGCCCUGGGGGARUACRACCGCAAGGUUGAAACUCAAAGGAAAUUGAACGGGGACCCCGCACAARCCGGUGGRAGMAUGUGGUUUAAUUCRAAGRMACGCGAARAAACCUUACCMRGGYCUUGAACAUCCCUUGACAACUUCCARARAUGGARCGMUCCCCUUYCSGSGAACAAGGU
rnacentral:rRNA from 1 species